rnacentral:sRNA from 1 species
AAAGUGAGAUCACACUGUCACAUUGUGCACUCCUGGAAGGCAGCAGGUGCUCAGCAGAGGAGCUGGCUUGAGACCUGACUGGGUGCCCUGGUUCUCUGGAGAAGCACGCUGUGCUGAGUAGGAGACACUUCUCUGCCGCGUUUUCUCUGUGCCUGCUGCGUGGGCAUGUCCCCCAUCCACAGGCCAGCCUGUCCCUGUGGGUCUUGUCCAGUGAACAGGAUGGGCCGUGCUAUUCUCCACAGAGCCCCAAAGGCUUCCUGGAGAGCUACGAGGAGAUGCUGAGCUAUGCCCUGCGGCCCGAGACCUGGGCCACGACACGGCUGGAGCUGGAGGGCCGAGGGGUGGUAUGCAUGAGCUUCUUCGAUAUCGUGCUGGACUUCAUCCUCAUGGACGCCUUUGAGGACCUGGAGAACCCCCCGGCCUCGGUGCUCGCCGUCCUGCGGAACCGCUGGCUGUCAGACAGCUUCAAGGAGACGGUGGGUCGCUGCCCCGCUCUCAGACCCACACUUGCUCACAUUAGCCCGUGUGGUUGCCUGGCUCCGUC